UGUUUCGGCUAGGGGGCCAUCCCGGCUUACCAACCCGAUGCAAACUGCGAAUACCGGAGAAUGUUAUCACGGGAGACACACGGCGGGUGCUAACGUCCGUCGUGAAGAGGGAAACAACCCAGACCGCCAGCUAAGGUCCCAAAGUCAUGGUUAAGUGGGAAACGAUGUGGGAAGGCCCAGACAGCCAGGAUGUUGGCUUAGAAGCAGCCAUCAUUUAAAGAAAGCGUAAUAGCUCACUGGUCGAGUCGGCCUGCGCGGAAGAUGUAACGGGGCUAAACCAUGCACCGAAGCUGCGGCAGCGAACGUAUCACUUAAAGCGAUUCAGCGGGUUACGAUUGACGGAGCGAAGCGACGUCAAAGCGUAUACAAAGUCGAGUCGGUUUAAGGAUACGUUCGUUGGGUAGGGGAGCGUUCUGUAAGCCUGUGAAGGUGUGUCGUGAGGCAUGCUGGAGGUAUCAGAAGUGCGAAUGCUGACAUAAGUAACGAUAAAGCGGGUGAAAAGCCCGCUCGCCGGAAGACCAAGGGUUCCUGUCCAACGUUAAUCGGGGCAGGGUGAGUCGACCCCUAAGGCGAGGCCGAAAGG
rnacentral:rRNA from 1 species